UACAGAGGUCUCAAGCGUUGUUCGGAUUCAUUGGGCGUAAAGGGUGCGUAGGCGGCGCGGUAAGUCGGGUGUGAAAUCUCGGGGCUUAACUCCGAAACUGCAUUCGAUACUGCCGUGCUUGAGGACUGGAGAGGAGACUGGAAUUUACGGUGUAGCGGUGAAAUGCGUAGAUAUCGUAAGGAAGACCAGUGGCGAAGGCGACUACCUGGCCUGUUCUUGACGCUGAGGCGCGAAAGCUAGGGGAGCAAACGGG
rnacentral:rRNA from 1 species